CUUGGUUUUUAUUGAAGAGAACCAUUAGAUAGAACAUUCCAUCCAAAAAAGGUAAAGGGUAGUAUUACAAAGGAAUGAGAAGGCAGCCCACUCCUAUUGGGUAAUGCCCAUUCCCAGAGCCUAGCUCCCCUGUGGAUCCACCUGUUUCCUGUGCAAGGGAAACCAGUCUCCACACCUCCACAGCUUAAGGCUAAGGGUGCUCAACUCCUAUAUGGCAGUUCCAACAUCUAUCAAUUUUGUAUCAUGUAAGAUCUGCAUGAGUUUGGAUCACUCCAAAUUUUCUCGUCCAGGGACUAAUUUUAAUACUCUUUGAAAUGACACACCUGUAAGUCAGGGGGUAGUGUCUAACUCUUGGUUUUGUGUUAUUCUCACUUAUGUUAGUGUUCUGUACUGAAGUAGCAGGACAUUUACAUCUUAUCCCGGUGUGCUCACAUGAUUCAUUCCUCUUCACUAAUUUGAUAGCAAAUUAACCCACAAGUCUCUCCAUUAUUUCCAUUUGAAAUUUAUUUCUUCCUCUCAAUAAGUUACAGCUUUUGGUAUUAUCUGAAACAUAUUUUUAUUAUAAUUCGCUUCUCAUAGUUAGAAUUGUUUCUAGUGAGUUCUUGUAAAAUUUAUGCAAAAUAUUUUCAUGGUAUGGUGCAUUUGUAAUUGUGCCUGCUGCAUAAUCAAGUAUAUUCAUGACUUAGGAAUUGAUUAAAACCCAAGCCCUCUGAUUACCAUUUUAUAUCUCUGGUGUAUGGAAGAAUUUUUGGUAGAUUAGCUUCUGGCUAUGACUAUUUCAAAACUUGUUUUCCCGGUUCACAUCCAGCACUAGAUGCUAUAGGACAUUAUAUUGUGAUAAGAAUCCUGUCCUUGUACCUGCUAUCAGAUAAGAUCAACAGAGAGGGUGAUAGGAAUAUUUUUAGAAGCUGUUCCUUUAACAGACAGGAGCUCAAAUAACACAUAGAAGAGACUGAUAACCAUAUAAAUACGUCCUUCUAAACCCAAACUGAAUAUACCUUCCUAACUCAAAUUCCCCAGACUGGAUUCUCAAAAAUGCUUGUGACCUACUCCAGUGCUACAGAACACGAGGAAAAGUAUGAUGCUGAAAACCGAGAGGAAGGAGUGAUCCUGUAAGUCAGCUAAAAUAUAUGAAUUUUUCAAAUUUGACAAAAAUAUAUGGCUAUGUGAAUAUAUAGCUAGAAUCCCUUCCAGGGCCUUGGAAGGGGCUGAUGUAAGAGAGGAGUCUUGAAGCUUUAGCUUCAUUAGCUCCCCUGAACAUUCACCUUUGAAGAGCAACCCAUUUCAUCCAGUACUCUGUAGUUUGGUGUGAUGAACUCUAGAAUCAGGCUCCUGGUGUCAACAAUUCGACACCACACUUUUCAUAGUACCUUAUGGAUCUUUGUCUAUCAGUACCACAUCUCUUAGACAUGGUGGUGCCCAACUUGCUAAUCAAAUAACACUUAGAGAAGAAAAUUUUAGUAAAAGAGAGGAAAAGAGAAGAAAAAAUAAAAAGAUGGGAGAAUGAAGAGUAAAAGGUCAAGAAAGAGGUUUAUGUGAUAAGAUAAGAAGCCAUUAAGCCAGGAAAUAACAUAAACUUCAGCUGUCAAGGUCAUAAAGCAUUGACUGACCUUGUCCAGCCGAUGCCGAAGUCCACCUGCACAUCGCUUUAGCCACAUAAGCUUACUGGGUGCCACAGUAGAUGUUUCUAACUUACUGGCAGUGGCCUGUAUCAAAGCUCUCUCUUGUUUUUGCCUGAGGGCUUUUUCCAGCAUCAGAGAGCUCAUUCACCAACUGGACGUUCGGGGUGGGUGGUCGACCCUUACCUCAGGGAUGGGAGUUGGUAGAUAAAUACCCCAGAUAUUGGGCUUUUGGUGGAAUUCUUUUCCUUUUUUAAAUUUUAAAUUCUUUUUAGAAAUCAUGAAAGUAGAAUGUAUUUUGACAGAUUAUACAUGGAAUAUAUAUAUAUAUAUAUGUAUGUAUAUAUAUAUAUAUAUAUAUAUAUAUAUGUAUAUAUAUAAAACUCAUUUUAAUUAGGAUCUUAUUCUUGUGGUUGAACAUGAUGUGGAGUUACACUGGUUGGUGGAAUGCUUCUGAGUUGAGUUCCACAGGAUUUUUCUGAGGAUCCCAGAGGAACUGAGCACCAGGUGCCCACAGAGAUGGCCCCCUCGUUAAGUCACUCACUUAUUGGCAUCUUUCCUUUCCAUGGCUCCCUUUCCCCACUCCCUGAGAUAACCUCUCAAACUACCCAAACUCAAUUCUUGUCUCAGGACAAAGUGGUUUGAAGCCUCACAAAUCAAGACACCUGGUUUAAGUCAUGUGCAAGUAAUUUAUGGUAAGUGUAAGCUAAAUAUUAAAAUACAAAAAACGUGGAAUAUGGUGUUUAAAGGAAAUAAACAAUUUGGAGAUACCAAAAUAACUUAUUAAAAUAACUUAUUUUUGUGUUACAGGCAUCUGUUUAAAGAUAAUACAGAUCUGCAGAAACUAAUUUAGUUUCUAUGGGAAGAUAAAAAAGAACUGAAUUAUUGCAUUCAGGUCUUUAAAAUUCUCUUGCGUUUAUAUUCCAUCUCUGGCUUAUUAAAGGGAUCUGUGCUCUGUUAACAUACACAUGUGCUUACAAUAUAAACAGCUUAACUAGACAUCUGCGUUGACUACAUAGAAGAGGCAGUUAACUUUUUGCCUUGUUUCUGUUCAAUGAUCUUGAUAUUUUAGCCUGUUGGCCAGAUGAAACAAGAUCAUUUUUUUGAUACCAGAUGUGUCACAGUUUGGGCUUACAUUUUGCAGGUGCUCCCCCCAGCUGGGAAGAUGGAAAUUUGCCAUCUCUCAGGGAUGAUGAUUCAGGAUAGAAAUAUAAGUGUGUUAAAAAUAAUUCAACAUAUUAAUGGAGGGCUUUGUCCCUUGUGGGCUGCUUAUGCAUAACAUAUGAGCAGACCAGCAGCUGUUCUAUAUUUUAAAAGGAAAGUUAGAAAGUUAGAUGCAUACAGAGCUAUUCAAAACAUAAGCAACUGCUUGAAGUCAUGGAAACAAGAUUCAACAAUAACCUUUUAUUUGUGAAGCUUCCCAAGAAAUAAUAAUCCCACCGGGCUGUGUUCAGGUGGUCUCAGGGCAUUGAACAGUUGUUCUGUUCCAUCAUUUGGAUUCACUCCAUCUCCCUUAUAUAGUGGUAGAGAUACUACCUUUAUUAGAUAUGGGGAUUGGUUUCUAGCUGAUUUCUACUAUCCAAUAUUUAAUCAUGAUUUUAAAAGUACCUAUUUGUUUUUUUCCCCUUUUCACUUAAAUAUAUUGUGAAAGACCUAAAAGGUCUUUUAUGAUGAACUUGUCAAUUGUGAUAUCGUAUUCCAGCCGGUAAAGUAAGAAGCCUUAGCAGAUAAUGUUCAUUGUACCUAUUUUUUUCUUCAAGAACACUUAAGAUUAAUAAUAUGAACCAACAUCAAGGAAUGACACUAUUCUUCACAUUCACACCUUGUCUUACACUGAUUCCGAUGGCAGGAAGGACUCCAUAAGCCUUUUUGUCCAGCUCCUGGACCAGGACAGUGUUAGACCCACUCCAUAUUCACCACUCUGUCUCUCAAAGCCCACCCCGUCAUCCCCAGCUCCUUUUGGAUCUCUAGUAAUAGACUCUUCUUUUCUUUUGGAAAUUGCUGUUCUCUCAACUAUAGUAAGGUCUACAUGAUUGGUCCUUGCAUUUCAAUUUGUAGAGCUCAAGAAUAUUUUACGUAACAUAUUUCUCUUUCUCUGGAGUUAAAAGAACAAAUCAACUACAGUUCUUGAGAGUCUGUCUCUCUUGGGUCGGUAUCUGUGUUAUUUCAACUCAACUACAUGUGACAGUAGCAGUGACCACUGGUCAUGUAACCAGCAAGGUCUAUCCAUGACACGGAGUGAACAUUUUAUAGGAAAUAUAGCAUUUUAUAGGAAGAAGUUUGGAAGGAAAGGGAUUGCCUGACGGUGUUGGAAUCUGGAGUGUGGCCAAGGAAAAGUGCUCCAAUUUAAAUCUUAGGACCUGUGUUCUAGGCAUCGUGCUCUUGCUUAACAAACUGCAACCCUGAGCAAGCCUUAAAAACAAGAUGGCGUCUAAGUUCUAGAAUCCUGUUUUAUUACUAUGAUUAUUAAAAGGAAAGGUGUGUAACAGGAGAGAUUUUGCUUGGAGGAAAUGGUGACUGCAAGUUGUCAAAGUACUUUUGCAGGGGUGGGGAGUUGGCAGCUGAGGGAAGUCAUCCUCUUUUUGAGAUGGCCUAAUCUCCAUCAGGCCUUGCCUAACCAGUCAGAAAACAAUUCCACCUUACCUGGAGAGCACCGAAGUCUCAGAGCCCAGGCCAGGGGCAUUGGGAUGGAGAGUGGUGGAAAUGUCUAGGAAAGUUCUCAUUACACUAAGGCUCACCGAGUAGGCAUUUCCCAGAAGCAUGUUUGAAGUGUGGGAACCCAUGACUGGCCCUUUUUUCCAUUGGUGAAACAAGGUAAAAUGACUUUCAAUUUAACAUGAGUAAUUAUAUUUCAGUAUCAGCAGAAAGUAACAAAAAUGUAAUUUUACAGAGUAAAUACUAAAAAAAGAAAGGUAUUUUGAAUUGUAAUUUAAAAACUUAGAGCUGAAUUGGAUUAUUUAUUGUGUCUUCAUCCUCAAUAAUGAACCCACAUUGUUGAAGAUCUGGUUUAGGGUGGGAACUGUUAAUAUUUUUUUCUUCUGCCAAUGUCCAAUAUUCAAAGAAUACUCAGGUGCUUUCAAAGAUUUGGUAAAUAGAACUAUAUCUUCUCUGAGUGCAUCCUUGGGGUAGGACUUAUAAAAACUUAGUUUUACAAGCUGGAAAAACAUCUUGUUUCAACAUCCUGGUUUUGUAGAUAAAGAAUCAUAAAGAAUCCAAGAUUUUGAGUGACUUUACUAAGGUCUCUCUACUGGUAAUAAGAGAAAAGAGACUAAGAAUCGUGGUUCUUUAGGAUGACAUCACACUGUUAGAUUAGCAGAGACAUUUAUCAAUGAAUGUUGACAAAAAAAGAUAGAUUCUGACAAUGAAUUAUUUUUCUAUGAUUUCCAUCUAUGAGAGCUGGUUUAAAUCAACCAUUUCUAAGGAUGACAAAAGGAAGGAGUCUUGUGUAGUCUGAAAGAAAAGCAGAACUUUGUCUUACUGAUUUGGUUUAUUUUUAGUCAUUUAUUUUGAAUUUCAAGUUGCAUUUAAAGAGAACAUGAUGGAAUCUCCCUGCCAUUUCCCUUUCUAUCUCUUCCCCCUCUUCCUUAUUUUGGAUUAGCUUCUGCAUAUCAGAUAAAACAUUCAACUUUUAGCUUUCCGGGUCUGGCUUAUUUUGGUUAGUAUUAUAGCCUCCAGGUCUAUCCAUUUAUGAUCAAAUGCCGUAAUUUCAUUCUUUAUGACUGAGUAAUACUGCAUUGUGUAUAAAACCCACAUUUUCUUUAUCCAUUCACCUGUUGAAGGGCCCCC
rnacentral:lncRNA from 1 species